UUAACUUCAAUAAGUUAGAAUGUGCGAAAUAGUAUAAGUCAGAAUGAGAUAACAUUUAAAAGGAGACAGUAUAUAUAUAUAUACUGUCUCCUUUUAAAUGUUAUCUCAUUCUGACUUAUACUAUUUCGCACAUUCUAACUUAUUGAAGUUAA
rnacentral:pre_miRNA from 1 species